AUGAAGCUCUUGGAUGUAGGAGUUUGGGCCUGGGUGGGGUGUUUUCCAGAAGACAAAAAAAAAGGCAGCAUGGUUUGUGUGGCCCCAGGGCAUGGGGGCACAGCAAGGUAGGUCUCUUUGUGUGUUUUUCUGCCCAAGAGAGUUUCCCUGAGAAAUUAAUUUUAAAGACAUGGUCUUGAAAGCUUUUGCCCUCCGGGAAUUGCUCCAGUUGUCUUAGGUGAAGCACAGCUUCUCCCAGGCCCACCCCCAUUCUCCUGCAGGUCUCUAAGUCUAAGAAGGACCUUCUCUCUAUCCUGCACAGGCCACUCUCACAUGGACUAACCAAGUAAAACCUGCGCGGGAGAGAUAAGGAGUCAGCUCAGACUCUAUGCCCCAGACCAUGGAGAAAGGGGCGUAGAGAGGAGACCCGGUUGUAGGGGGUUGGGGGGGGCGCCAGCCAGGACAAGUCUGGGGGUCCAGGACCUACCAGGGGAAGCCAGCCAAGUUAAAAAGAAGGCAGUUUGCUUUCCUUCUCCCAUCUUGCUUCCUUCCUUCUCUCCCUCCCUCCUAGUCCCCAGAGGCUUCACUGGGCGUCAAGCCAGGUUCCGUUCUCAGGGAGGCUGCAAAUGAUGUUUACCUUCUACCUUCUUUAGGGAGCUUUGAGCUCGGCACCCUGGGGCCUCAAGCCCUAUGGCCUCAAGCCCUUAAUGGCUUCUCACACUGAAGGGUGGACUGGGAGCCCCCAGUCUGAAACAAUUACAUCCGGUUUGUGAUUCCGUGUCCCAUCCUGUCUGCUUCAGAACUGUGUCAGCCUCGCGGCCUGGGAUCCCUGCCCUCGUCCCAUAUCCAGGUUCAGUCAUUUGACCGGUCUUAGUUUAAUGUGACUUCUGUAGGCACCCUGUCCCCUCCUCGGAAGUAAGUAGAAUAAGGUAGGAGAGACCAAUGACUAGGUAUUGAUUGAUUGAUUGAUUGAUUGAUUUAGCUACAGCACUGCAUGACCUAACUCGACUUCGCUUGCUUCCUUGGACAGAAGGACCUGGAGAAAUAGCUGAAGCAGUGGGCCAUGGCCUGGAACAAUCCACUGAACGCCACUCAUGCUUCCGUGAACCCUUACUUGCUCACCCCACCCUGUGGUUUCAGAGUAUAGAAUGAGAAUAUAAGCUAGAUCCUGGGGUUGAAGCCGUUCAGGACCUUCCUCAAGCAGUGACAACUCCUCUCUUCCACAUGGGUGUCGGAAUGAUUAUUCCAGAAAGAUGCCCGCAACAACUCCUACCAGGUUACAUCUUCACGGACCUGAGAGACGGCUCAUAAGUUAAGGCUUAGGCCACUAAGGCUAAUAAUACGUAACCUGUGUUUAAUCACGGGGACCAUCAUAAUAGAAGGAGAGAACUGUCUGAAGUUUGUUCUUUUAUCUACUCUCUUUCUCUGGAUAAAUACAUAAACAAACAAAUAUUACAUCUUCAUGAAAUAAAAUCUUGCAGCAUCCU